rfam:Gossypium raimondii Chr04_contig_1393, whole genome shotgun sequence.
AAUAGGAGAAUGACAAAUCUAAUUUUUCCUCAUGAUUUUUAGCAUUCUCCUCUUAAAAAAAUUUAAAUCCAACUAAAAAUGCUAAAAAUUAGGAGGAAAAAUAUGAUUUAUCAUUAUUCUAUU